UACGUAGGGGCCGAGCGUUGUCCGGAGUUAUUGGGCGUAAAGCGCGCGCAGGUGGUUCCUUAAGUCUGAUGUGAAAGCCCACGGCUCAACCGUGGAGGGUCAUUGGAAACUGGGGAACUUGAGUGCAGAAGAGGAAAGUGGAAUUCCAAGUGUAGCGGUGAAAUGCGUAGAGAUUUGGAGGAACACCAGUGGCGAAGGCGACUUUCUGGUCUGUAACUGACACUGAGGCGCGAAAGCGUGGGGAGCAAACAGG
rnacentral:rRNA from 1 species